UGGGGAAUAUUGCACAAUGGGCGCAAGCCUGAUGCAGCGACGCCGCGUGAGGGAUGACGGCCUUCGGGUUGUAAACCUCUUUCAGCAGGGACGAAGCGCAAGUGACGGUACCUGCAGAAGAAGCACCGGCUAACUACGUG
rnacentral:rRNA from 1 species